rnacentral:rRNA from 1 species
GACGAACGCUGGCGGCGUGCUUAACACAUGCAAGUCGAACGGAAAGGCCCUGCUUUUGUGGGGUGCUCGAGUGGCGAACGGGUGAGUAACACGUGAGUAACCUGCCCUUGACUUUGGGAUAACUUCAGGAAACUGGGGCUAAUACCGGAUAGGAGCUCCUGCUGCAUGGUGGGGGUUGGAAAGUUUCGGCGGUUGGGGAUGGACUCGCGGCUUAUCAGCUUGUUGGUGGGGUAGUGGCUUACCAAGGCUUUGACGGGUAGCCGGCCUGAGAGGGUGACCGGCCACAGUGGGACUGAGAUACGGCCCAGACUCCUACGGGAGGCAGCAGUGGGGAAUAGUGCACAAUGGGCGGAAGCCUGAUGCAGCAACGCCGCGUGCGGGAUGACGGCCUUCGGGUUGUAAACCGCUUUCGCCUGUGACGAAGCGUGAGUGACGGUAAUGGGUAAAGAAGCACCGGCUAACUACGUG